ACAAGCACCAGCCUCUGGAAAUACCUCCAGGGAAAACAGGCCCCUGGCUGCCUUCCCACAUCUCAUGGGACCAACCAUGAGUUGUCAAAAGUUCUGAAACGGCUACUGUGUAUGACAGCAAAUAUUCCUUAUUUUGAUCAUGACAAAUCAUUUUCUAGCUUGAUUGUUAGCCUUCUGGGAAAGGAAUGGGUAUUUCAGCUGCCAACCUGCCUUACCACCAUGUCACUGACACACCUAAAUAUUAUGGCUGCAGGGACUAAGAGCCUUCUCAACAGACUACUGACAAGCCAA